UCGCAGCCCAAGCUGAGUGGAGCUCAUUUUUUUGCGAGGACUUUUGGAAGGCAAAAAAUAGCGGGAACGGAGCGCGGAAUGGCU
rnacentral:misc_RNA from 1 species